rnacentral:guide_RNA from 1 species
GAUGCAAAUAACUUAUGAUACGAUUGAUAUAGAUGGUAAAUUA